rnacentral:lncRNA from 1 species
AGUAUGUACUUUGGUUUGGAUUUUAAUCCAGCUCUUUCUAAAAGCAUUUCAAGAAUGUAGUGCAGAGAUUGUAUUUCCGAAACGACGCCAUGAUUCACGUUUACAAAACGAUUUAAGCACAUCAAGAAAGAAUGGAGUUCAUGAAGAACAUGUCACUUAUGAAGUUAAAUCGAAAAAAGCUCUGCAUGUUUUAGAUUUAAAAAA